CUACCAUGGCAGUCACGGGUAACGGAGAAUUAGGGUUCGAUUCCGGAGAGGGAGCCUGAGAAACGGCUACCACAUCUACGGAAGGCAGCAGGCGCGCAAAUUGCCCAAUCCCGACACGGGGAGGCAGUGACAAGAAAUAACAACUCUAGGUUUUCUUAGAAGUGUAAUGAGGAUAAUUUACAAACCUUACCAAAUGCAAUUGGAGGGCAAGUCUGGUGCCAGCAGCCGCGGUAAUUCCAGCUCCACUAGCGUAUAUUAAAGUUGUUGCAGUUAAAAAGCUCGUAGUUGAAAAUCUGAUUGCUCAGGUCUCCAGCCUUUAGGCGGGGAUUCUGACAGUCAUCCGCUUGCAAACAUAUGUUCGAUCUUCACCGGUUGGCUAUGUGAGUAAGCACUUUACCUUGAGAAAAACAGAGUGUUCCAGGCAGGUUUGUCCGGAAUGCAUUAGCAUGGAAUAAUAGAACAUGACUGAAGUCUAUUUAUUGGUUAAAGGCUUUAGUAAUGAUUAAUAGGAACAGUCGGGGGCAUUCGUACUCAGCAGUCAGAGGUGAAAUUCUAAGAUUUGCUGAAGACGAACUAAUGCGAAAGCAUUUGCCAAGGAUGUUUUCAUUAAUCAAGAACGAAAGUUAGGGGAUC
rnacentral:rRNA from 1 species